rnacentral:tRNA from 1 species
CAGUAAAUAGUUUAAUAAAAAUAUUAAUUUUGGAGAUUAAUGAUGGGGUUAUCCUUUUUACUGA